UGGACUUACAGAGUGAACCCAAGAAGUCGCCGACGGCUUUGGGCUUGAGAUCCGGCUACGCUUUGGUCCAGAGCUUUGCCGCAUUGGUAGGCGGCCGUUGCCAUGACGGCCCAAGGGAGCCUGGUGGCUAACCGAGGCCGGCGUUUCAAGUGGGCGAUUGAGCUGAGCGGACCUGGAGGAGGCAGCAGGGGCCGAAGUGACCGGGGCGGUGGCCAGGGAGACUCGCUGUACCCAGUUGGUUACUUGGACAAGCAAGUGCCUGAUACCAGCGUUCAAGAGACAGACCGGAUCCUAGUGGAGAAGCGCUGCUGGGACAUUGCCUUGGGUCCCCUGAAACAGAUUCCUAUGAACCUCUUCAUCAUGUACAUGGCAGGCAAUACUAUCUCCAUCUUCCCUACUAUGAUGGUGUGUAUGAUGGCUUGGCGACCCAUUCAGGCACUAAUGGCCAUUUCAGCCACUUUCAAGAUGCUAGAAAGUUCAAGCCAGAAGUUUCUUCAGGGUUUGGUGUAUCUCAUUGGGAACCUUAUGGGUUUGGCAUUGGCUGUUUAUAAGUGCCAGUCAAUGGGACUGUUGCCUACACAUGCAUCAGAUUGGUUAGCCUUCAUUGAACCCCCUGAGAGGAUGGAGUUCAGUGGAGGAGGACUGCUUUUGUGAACUUAAGAUAAGAAGAACCUGGUACCUAUAUAUCUGGAUUCUUUAUGCCCAGUGGCUCCUUCUCCGCUUAUUAACCCUUAACAUUAUCUCCUGCUGAAAAGAACCAAAAGCUCCUUUCUCCAUGGUGAAAGACAAUGUAUUCAUCACUACAAACACAAAAAACUAUACCACAACUCUUGACUGAAAAUAAGGAACACAGUUUGGACAGGAAGAAAGAUGGUUUGUGUACAACAUUAAUUGGUGGCUGGUAUGCAUAGGCAAACAACAGAAAGAAGGCUGGAUCUGGAGAGAGAUGAAGACUAGAUCCCAUCCCGUGUCCCCAGGCAAAGUCCCAUCUGUGGCACUAAUGGCGACACUGUUAGGUCUGAGUGGGAAGCUUACGGGCGCAUGUUAAGCAGGUCCUGGAACCCUUCCAUUGACUUGGCCUUCUGCCCCCGAGACGCCAUGUACUUGUCUUUGGUCCACGUCAUGUGCACCUUCUCCUGGUAAGUCUCUGUCUCGUCGUCCUCGUCAGAGCCGAUGCUGGUCAGCCGUAGCAUUGAGUUCCGGUCUUUCACCAGCUGUGCCUGGGGAGGCCCGACACAACUACGAUCCUACACCCGUUUUCUCUCAUGCAUCAUCUUUAAUUAUUUUAAAAUGUGGCUACUGCAGAGUAACUAAUACGGAAGUAAGGAAGAGCCCGUCGUGCUGUGAGAGGAGUACCCCACCCCCUCAGUGAAAGGCCUCCCGGGCCGGGCCGCGGCCGCCUCACCUCGCGGUCCCGCUCCGUCUUGGACAGGCGCAUGUGCCGCAGCAUCUGGGACCGCUGCUCCAUCAUCAGCGUGCGCUCGUAGGUGUACGCCGAGAUGUCGCUGUCGUGCUGCCGUGCCGACCACGCAGGUGAGCACAAAGGAGCAAGAGACACGCGCUUUCAUUUCCACUCACUCAUUAAACCAGAGCAACCACCACACUAUCAACCUGGGUUUCAGUUUUUGUUCAGUCACUGAGCUGCAUAAAACAAUACUGUGGCCUGUAGAUCAAAUCCAGAGCUCUGAGUCUUUCCCACAAUCUAACCAUUACAUACGUGUUUUCUUGAAACACAAGACACAAAAUCCUGUUAUUUUAAUACUGCCAGCUUAUUAAAAAAAAACAAAAACAAAAA